rnacentral:rRNA from 1 species
UACGAAGGGGACUAGCGUUGUUCGGAAUCACUGGGCGUAAAGCGCACGUAGGCGGAUAUGUCAGUCAGGGGUGAAAUCCCGGGGCUCAACCUCGGAACUGCCUUUGAUACAGCAUAUCUUGAGUCCGAUAGAGGUGGGUGGAAUUCCUAGUGUAGAGGUGAAAUUCGUAGAUAUUAGGAAGAACACCGGUGGCGAAGGCGGCCCACUGGAUCGGUACUGACGCUGAGGUGCGAAAGCGUGGGGAGCAGACAGG